UACGUAGGGGGCAAGCGUUAAUCGGAAUUACUGGGCGUAAAGCGUGCGCAGGCGGCUUUGCAAGACAGAUGUGAAAUCCCCGGGCUCAACCUGGGAACUGCAUUUGUGACUGCAUGGCUAGAGUACGGUAGAGGGGGAUGGAAUUCCGCGUGUAGCAGUGAAAUGCGUAGAUAUGCGGAGGAACACCGAUGGCGAAGGCAAUCCCCUGGACCUGUACUGACACUGAGGCACGAAAGCGUGGGGAGCAAACAGG
rnacentral:rRNA from 1 species